rnacentral:rRNA from 1 species
CCAGCAGCCGCGGUAAUUCCAGCUCCAAUAGCGUAUAUUAAAGUUGUUGCAGUUAAAAAGCUCGUAGUUGGAUCUCGGGUACUAGCAUGUGGUACGCUUUUUUGCUGUUACUACAUGUCUGGUCCUAAUCAACCGGUUGGCCGUUGAUGCCCUUUAUUGGGUGUUUUCGGUAGCCGGUACGUUUACUUUGAGAAAAUUAGAGUGCUUAAAGCAGGCCUUAAGCCUGAAUAAUGUUGCAUGGAAUAAUAGAAUAGGACCUCGGUUCUAUUUUGUUGGUUUUGUAGAGCAUUGAGGUAAUGAUUAAUAGGGACAGACGGGGGCAUUCGUAUUGCGGUGUUAGAGGU